AGUGAACGCUGGCGGUAGGCCUAACACAUGCAAGUCGAACGGCAGCACAGUAAGAGCUUGCUCUUACGGGUUGCGAGUGGCGGACGGGUGAGGAAUACAUCGUAAUCUACUUUUUCGUGGGGGAUCACGUAGGGAAACUUACGCUAAUACCGCAUACGACCUACGGGUGAAAGCAGGGGAUCUUCUGACCUUGCGGGGUUGGAUGAGCCGGUGGCGGAUUAGCUAGUUGGCGGGGUAAAGGCCCACCAAGGCGGCGAUCGGUAGCUGGUCUGAGAGGAUGGCCGGCAACAUUGGGACGGAGAUACGGCCCAGACUCCUACGGGAGGCAGCAGUGGGGAAUAUUGCACAAUGGGCGGAAGCCUGAUGCAGCAACGCCGCGUGCGGGAUGACGGCCUUCGGGUUGUAAACCGCUGUCGCCUGUGACGAAGCGUGAGUGACGGGAAUGGGUAAAGAAGCACCGGCUAACUACGUG
rnacentral:rRNA from 1 species